AAGAGUUUAACAUAGCGUUCUUCUUUCUCUUCUACAGCGUGCACCUAAAUAUUAGGUGCCAUUCUCUCACAACCUCUGAAAUUUCAAUCAUUUCGUGAGAUGGCGCUAUGUUAUCCACUUCGUGCGAAGCGGUGUUGGUGAGGGUGGAUUGAUUACAGCUGUGCUAGGGAUCAAUUACUGCUGUGCGAGGAUUUCAAUCCUGAGUUCGUUCUGUCUUCCACCCAAAGAUAGAUCUAGCGGUUUGGGGUCUCUCUGCUGGCAAAAGCGAGUUAUCCAAUUCCAUCUAUUGGCAAUCUGUACCACUUUGAGGUUUUUCUGUCCAGAUCUGUUCUUCAACUAUUCUGUUACGCCCACUUGGUUACCUCGAUUCUGAUGAGCCCGAUGCCGUUAAUGAGCUUCUUCGACGGAGAACUAUCUAUUUGGACUCAGGUUUCAACUCUCUUUUUUGGGUAGAAUGACUAGAAUCUAGAUUACAUCCCCAGAAGAAACUUUGUUGUCCUUGUCUUUUUUGAUGGAUAAGAUUUAUCACUAUUGUUGGUUAAGCAUGGAAAAGUUAGUUCGUUCUUUGUCUGAUCAAUAGCUUCUUUAUACAUGUGUUAAAGUCUUUUUUAUAUAGAUGAUGACAAAUGGUUGCUGGAUGCUGGUGGUAA